UUUACUUUCUAAAUCGGUCAUUGUCACCCGUUGGCCCCCACCCCACCUGGGCCAAGGCCUCCUGUGACAAGGGCUUAAGAGGAAGCUCAAGGGGACAGGGCCUCAGCUCGGGGUGGAUAUGAGGCUUCAUCCUUGACAAGGACUUCGUAGGCCACCUCCAAGUGACAAGGUUCCCUUGGAUGUACCUGCCUGAGUCGGCAUGAACCGAGUCCUUCAGCUUCAACUGCCAGGGAAUGGGCCAAGGGACUCCACAGACAGGAGGAAGUCAGUAGCGGUUAGGGGUAUGGCUCCUGAGGUCUGUCACCCUGGCAAAUCUUGCCACCUCUCUGACCUUUACUUUCUCACCCCUGCAAAUGGAAGGCCUGAGGAAAUGGAAGAUGGUGUCCACCCCAGCUCAUUUGCGACCCUGUCACUUGCCCCUUUCUGGACUCAGUUUCCCCAUUACAAAUCGGAUGCAACAGCAUGCUCGAGCCCUACAGCCUGGAAUUUUGUGUGCAUGCUCAGCAAGCAUUCUGAGCCACAUCCUCGGCCUCCCAGCUUGGCUCGUAACCGGCAGGCCUCUGGAUCCACCUAGAAGGAAUAAUUACAGUUCUGUACAGUGUAGACAAAGUGUGAAGUGUGUUUUCUUGUUGGUCUUUAGAUCUCUUUGCCCAGUGGGGAGACAGAGUCAGUAACCAACUUUACAGAUAAAAAUCUUGUCUCAAAACGUGGUUCUGACCUAAGUGCCCCAUUUUCCAGAUGAGAUGAAGACAAAAGAAAUCCAGGGGGCUGGAGAGAUGGCUCAGUGGUUAAGAGCACUGACUGCUCUUCCAGAGGUCCUGAGUUCAAUUCCCAGCAACCACAUGGUGGCUCACAACCAUCUGUAAAGAUAUCCGAUGCCCUCUUCUGGUGUAUCUGAAGACAGCUACAGUGUACCUAUAUAUAAUAAAUAAAUAAAUCUUAAAAAAAAAAAAAAAGAAAAAGAAA